UGGGAACGUGCCCUUUGGUUCGGAACAACUCCGGGAAACUGGAGCUAAUACCGGAUAAGCCCUUCGGGGAAAGAUUUAUCGCCAAAGGAUCGGCCCGCGUCUGAUUAGCUUGCUGGUGAGGUAAUGGCUCACCAAGACGACGAUCAGUAGCUGGUCUGAGAGGAUGAUCAGCCACACUGGGACUGAGACACGGCCCAGACUCCUACGGGAGGCAG
rnacentral:rRNA from 1 species